AAGUUUUCUGACCUUUUGGGGUAUUGGGAAUCUGCUGAACACUGUGGAUAUUUCACUUCUCACAGAUUUUGACACAGAACUUCUGUGAACCAGCCUCUUGAAUCCCUACCGUGGACUCCGGCACGCAAAUUGCCAGGGAGGACAAACUGGCUCUCCCCCAUCUCCACUCCAGGCCCUGGCUACUGGAGCAGUUCAUCACGGCUGGUGCCAUGCUCUAGGCCGCGGCUGUGACUCACGUCAACCGCCUCCUCUCCCGUGACCCACAGGUGUCACACGAAGGGAGAUGGCCUGCGGGACCGUGCUGCAGAAAUUGCCUGCCGGCAGGUGAGCAUCUCAGGUAACAUCUCCUCCAUAUAAGCUUCCCAGGUCCACCUCUUGAAAGGCUUUGAGCCGUGCAAAACCUCAGUGCCCCCCGUGCAUCAACACCUCCAGAAACUGACCCCAAGUGUGCUCCAAGAUGGGGCGUCA
ensembl:lncRNA